UACGUAGGGGGCUAGCGUUGUCCGGAAUCAUUGGGCGUAAAGAGCGCGUAGGCGGCCAGAUAAGUCCGGUGUGAAAGUCACAGGCUCAACCUGUGAAUGCCGCUGGAAACUGUCUGGCUAGAGUCCGGAAGGGGCGAGUGGAAUUCCUGGUGUAGCGGUGAAAUGCGCAGAUAUCAGGAGGAACACCGGUGGCGAAGGCGGUAGUCUGGGCCGGUACUGACGCUGAGGAGCGAAAGCGUGGGGAGCGAACAGG
rnacentral:rRNA from 1 species